rnacentral:lncRNA from 1 species
GCUCGUCUGGGUUAGGCGAUGGGGGCUUCUUCCCCUUUCUGUGGGAUUUCCUUGGUCGCGUCGUGUUUCCCUGCUGUCGCCACAUGGUAGUUGCUCGCCAAGCAGGUCUCGGCUGAAACUUCCUGUUGCUUACCUUCUUCCCUGUUGGAUUCAGCUGUAAACGCUCUUCUAGACUGCAGCUCUGUUUUUUUUUUUUUGGGGGGGGGUGGUGUCGUCAUUUUGGUAUUGGUUAGUGCCGAGCACAAUGAAUAGAUGAGUCUGGUCAAGGCUUUUUCUUUCUGUCAUAAGUGAUCAAUAAUCAUCUGGCAGUAAGAGAUGAUCUUAUUACAGAAAAAGCCAAAGUGCACAGUAAGAGCAGCUGAAAUACAAGGUUCACAGACAGGAUGUAACCUUAUGUAAGAUGGAAACCUGUGAAGAAAGAUACAGAUAGCAGUUGGAGUUAAAAGUAGCAGACGAAUAUUUCUCUUCUUAAGUGUAAGCUUUUUUAAAACGCUAUGGUGAUUUGGAAAGUCUCAAGAGUGAACUGCAAAGUUUUUCUCAGCUCAGUCGAUGGGUUUUUUAGUUAUUUGUCCAAGUCUUUGGUGUUCAGAGAUGGUGUGUGAUGGGAAAAGCACCACGUCUGUGUAUUUUUAGCCGCUGUUUUUUGGAUUAGUUUGCUGUGCAGCUGAACCAAUUUCGUUUUGAAGGGCAAGGAGUGAAUGUGAUGGAUUUAUCUUCAGAAAUGAACAAACAUGGAAGGAAUCCAGUAAGUCACAAGCUAGAAGAUCAGAAGAAGAUCAUGACUUGAACAGAUUCUUGCACCAUGGUUAUCCAGCUUUUCCUGCUGUCUCACAUGCAACAAAAUUCAUGCAUAUGCAUCGAAGAGUUUUCCUCAAAAUCUGGCAUGCCCUGAAACAAAACCAAGAAGCAGUACAAUGCUAUUGAAAAUCAGUGGUGUGUGUCAGAUGCAAAAUAUGUGUUUCGUGGGAAUACUGCUGAAAUACUGGUGCUCAUCCAUAGUUAUCUCGUUCACUCUUUAAAAAUAAAGCACAUUUCUCUGAGUUGUUGAUUCUUCUG